rnacentral:rRNA from 1 species
AGUCGAGCGGUAACAGAUCCAGCUUGCUGGAUGCUGACGAGCGGCGGACGGGUGAGUAAUGCAUAGGAAUCUGCCCGGUAGUGGGGGAUAACCUGGGGAAACCCAGGCUAAUACCGCAUACGUCCUACGGGAGAAAGGGGGCUUCGGCUCCCGCUAUCGGAUGAGCCUAUGUCGGAUUAGCUAGUUGGUGAGGUAACGGCUCACCAAGGCCACGAUCCGUAGCUGGUCUGAGAGGAUGAUCAGCCACAUCGGGACUGAGACACGGCCCGAACUCCUACGGGAGGCAGCAGUGGGGAAUAUUGGACAAUGGGGGGAACCCUGAUCCAGCCAUGCCGCGUGUGUGAAGAAGGCCCUCGGGUUGUAAAGCACUUUCAGCGAGGAAGAACGCCUAGCGGUUAAUACCCGCUAGGAAAGACAUCACUCGCAGAAGAAGCACCGGCUAACUCCGUGCCAGCAGCCGCGGUAA